rnacentral:rRNA from 1 species
CCCUUAGAUGUCCGGGGCUGCACGCGCGCUACACUGGAGAAAUCAGCAUGCCUUCAUACCUGGCCCGAAAGGGUCGGGUAACCCGCUGAAACUUCUCCGUGAUUGGGAUAGGGAAUUGCAAUUAUUUCCCUUGAACGAGGAAUUCCUAGUAAGCACGGGUCAUAAGCUCGUACUGAUUACGUCCCUGCCCUUUGUACACACCGCCCGUCGCUCCUACCGAUUGGGUGCUCCGGUGAAUUGUUUGGACUGCUGUCAGUCUUUUAGGCUGUUGGCGAGAAGCUCUGUGAACCUUAGCACCUAGAGGAAGGAGAANUCGUANCA